UCCAUCUACUAAAGAUGCGCGGGAAAAAAUAUGUUAUGUCAAGGUCUUUGUUUUGCUAACGUUAGCGGCCUUGUGAACAUUAGCUAUAUAUAUAUUUAUUUAUUUUCUCCGAUAGCUGAGUGUACACGGACAGAAAUGGACUCCAAAUACCCACAUCUGGCGAGACCUCAGAAGAAGCUCCGUAAAGUGAGCACAGAGAAAGUGGAACCCAAAGAACAACCAGCACCAGAGAAGAGGAGUCUGGCCCAACCACCAGAGAAGGAGGCAACACAGGAAAGGAAAG